GAUGAACGCUAGCUACAGGCUUAACACAUGCAAGUCGAGGGGAAACGACAUCGAAAGCUUGCUUUUGGUGGGCGUCGACCGGCGCACGGGUGAGUAACGCGUAUCCAACCUGCCCACCACUUGGGGAUAACCUUGCGAAAGUAAGACUAAUACCCAAUGAUAUCCCACGAAGGCAUCCGAAUGGGAUUAAAGAUUUAUCGGUGAUGGAUGGGGAUGCGUCUGAUUAGCUUGUUGGCGGGGUAACGGCCCACCAAGGCAACGAUCAGUAGGGGUUCUGAGAGGAAGGUCCCCCACAUUGGAACUGAGACACGGUCCAAACUCCUACGGGAGGCAGCAGUGAGGAAUAUUGGUCAAUGGGCGAGAGCCUGAACCAGCCAAGUAGCGUGCAGGAUGACGGCCCUAUGGGUUGUAAACUGCUUUUAUAAGGGAAUAAAGUGAGUCUCGUGAGACUUUUUGCAUGUAUCUUAUGAAUAAGGACCGGCUAAUUCCGUG
rnacentral:rRNA from 1 species